CGUAGCGCGGUGGUCCCACCUGACCCCAUGCCGAACUCAGAAGUGAAACGCCGUAGCGCCGAUGGUAGUGUGGGGUCUCCCCAUGCGAGAGUAGGGAACUGCCAGGC
rnacentral:rRNA from 11 species